CGCUGGCCGAAGUGUGAAAGGGGGAUUCCAAGUGCUUUGCCUUCGGAUAAAGUUUUUGUAAGUGGUAAAAACCUGGCCAAAAAAUGGGGGGGAAAAACGGGGGCCGCCCCCCCCGGAACCCCCGGCCCCCCAGGGGGCAUCCGAAUUUUUGGGGCCUAAAGCUUUCUUACCCGGCCAAAAAAUUCUCUGGUAAAAUUGUGAACUUUACUUUACCACCUGGCAAGGAAAAUUUUUAAACAAAAAACGGGAAGGAUUCAAAGUUUUUCUGGGGGGAGGGGUAAAUGGUUAUAUUCUUGGAAAAAUUCCCAUGGGCGAAGGCUUCGGUUUAGAACAGGCUUAACGGGAAGAAACAAAGGCAAGGGAACCAAACCGAAUUAAAUCCCCAAGAAGCCCUACCAUUAAACCCGGAAGGCAAUGGGUGGCUUUUUCUUAGGGAAUUUCCAUGGCUAAAUGAAGAACUUUAACUUACCCCCUGGGAAAGUCCGGCCCCAGGAUUGAACUUUAAGGAAUUGGCCGGGGGUUCAUUACAGGGGUGAAGAAGGGCGGUCCAUUGGAAUCCCACGCGGAAAUUCUCACAGGGGCCAACGGAAAAUGGAGGUCAAGAUUGAGGGUUUAACUUACAAGGCGAGGGGUUGUUGAAGGCCGGCGGCAGGCUGUUGCGGUAGGUUGCACGGUUAGUCGUGGCACGGGCAAGGACCAUAUUCAACUUUAACAUCAAGGCCCUACGGGAUGAUUGGGUACAUUAGGAAACUGCUUUCGUAAGGAGGAAGGAAGGUGCGGGCAACGUUAAGGUCGUUAUGCCCCGAAUCUCCUGGGCUACCACGCGCUUCUGCAAUGGGUGGAGACAAUUAGGAUGCAACUUCCGAAAGGAGGAAGCCAACCCCAGGAAACUUCCAUCCUAAGUCCUGAAUUGAGGAUUGUAACUCAUCCUCAUGAAACGGAAUCCUUAGUAAUCGGACUUCAUUACGGUCCGGUGAUACUUGUCCCUG
rnacentral:rRNA from 1 species